UUAUACGGACAUCCAUCAACUUAGCACCAUUUAUGGAAAAGACCACCCCUGUCUCCUUGCACUUCACCGUAAAUUAGAUUCAUCCUCCACUCGUCACCCUGCCAUGCCCCGGACGCUGACCCUUUGAAACCGGAAAAGUCAGCAUUUGUGCUCCCUGUCGCUGGAAGCGAUGAGUAGAAAUGAGGACUUUACGGGCACUCUAUUCAGACGCCGGCGACCUGAGACGAUGGUUGGCAGAGACACGGCGAAUCCUGCCACCAGGCCGCGGGGCUGCCGAGGACCAAAUGGGAGCUCUGUCACAAAGCUCUGUCACUGCACCUGGGAGGGCUCGCUUAAUUUUAGCCCUUACUACGUUUUCUUCAACAUUGAAUCGUCGCCUCAUUUCUCAAGAGAUGAUUUUCUGCCAAGAGGCUGGAUCUGAACUGCAGAGACCACUCUCUGCUGUGUCUCCAGCGCGUAGCCCGGAGCC